rnacentral:rRNA from 1 species
GACGAACGCUGGCGGCGUGCCUAAUACAUGCAAGUUGAACGCAACAAAGACACCAGAGCUUGCUCUACCGUCUUUGUUGAGUAGCGAACGGGUGAGUAACGCGUGGGUAACCUGCCUUAUAGCGGGGGAUAACUAUUGGAAACGAUAGCUAAUACCGCAUAACAAUAGAGAUUGCAUAAUCUUUAUUUGAAAGUGCCAACUGGUACACUAUGAGAUGGACCCGCGUUGUAUUAGCUAAGUUGGUAGUGUAAUGGACUACCAAGGCGAUGAUACAUAGCCGACUGAGAGGUGAUCGGCCACAUUGGGACUGAGACA